CUCCCUCAGGAUUGAAUAUUUGCUUCUCUCUGUGAGGAAUUCUGAAAUGCGCUGGAGACACACACGCAGAGCAACAAAGCAUGUGAAAAACAAGAUCUUCUAUCAUAUCGGGCAAAGCUUCCACUCUCAUUGUGGAUCAGAAUGGACACAAUCCUUCCCUGACACUAAACAUAACCCACCUCAGUGCAUUAAAGGAUGGUUCAAAACCAGGGUGUUGACGGCCCUGACCACCCCCCUGCCAUGUGCCGAUUGGGACCUUGACUCAGAUGAUUCCUGGAUCAAGAGACAUCUGAUCUUCACUUUCCCCAAGGGUGGGCCAGAAGGGAGCUCAUUUUGUAUCCAUCGAGGAGGAGUAAACUCUUGCCACCCAGCUGCAACGCCCAGAGAUUCAGGACAGGAGGGUAGAUGGUUCCCGAGUGCCCUGGACCUGGAAAGGCCACGCUUCUGCAGCCUGCUUCCCAGAGCGGGCCCCGCUGGAGGACACCACCCAGGACCUUGGGACACUGGAGGCAGCGAGGCCCAUGGCAGGCGGCGGCUGGGCACAGGGGCUGCAGGAGCUGGAGGAGAGGAACUUCUCAGGAGGGCCUGGCCCCUCCAGAUCCCAGCAGGGUCCACCCUCUGCCCGGCAUGGGGCUCCACAUGAUUCCAUGAAGGCUGGAGGCUGUGACCAGGGGUUGGCACCCUGCCUCCUGGAAGGGCUCAGGUGAGAGGCCAAGAGUACCUCUGACAGCCUCCUCAUGUGUGCCAGGGCCCAGCCAAUCCCCAGCCCCCUGGUUGUAACUUCAGCCAUUCCCUCCCUCAAGAAAGGUCAUUGCAUAGAGGUAAGAGUGGCAUAGUAGAGGAAUAAUCUGAACUCUUCACACACCCACCCAAUCAUGUAUCUCUUCAGAAGUUCACUAUCAGGGUGAAAGAUUAUAUGCACCUGGCCUACCCAGGACACGCUGACUGCCCAAGUGCACGGGAGACCUGCCCCCUUUCCCUACACCCAGCGACAGGUAAAAAGGUGGGCAAGUGCUGGAGGAGUGAGAAUGGGGUAGGAAGGAAAGAGGAGAAGCUGAGAGGAGGAAGGGGAGAGGCACAGGGAGCAAGACAACACAAAUCCAAGCCUGAGUUUCGCCUCAAGCAGGGCUCAGAAAUGUGUGUCUGCAGAAUUGGGACGAGUCACGUGGGGACUAAGCAACAGGAUGAAGCAUCAGUCACAACCUCCCUGGGCAUUGCCUGGUGAUGUGUAACAGACCUCUGCCAGGGUGCUGGCAUUCCCAUGGUGGAGGGAGGCAGAGGGGGCUGGGGAGGGCCGCCAACCCCAGACACCCGGGAGUGCUGACAAGCCUCUGCACCCCACUGGGGGUUUAAGUGUCCACUUGUGCAUAAUGAGGCGUUGGUCUCAGUGCUCUCUGGGACCAUUCCAGCUUGAAGAGUCUGUGAUGCUGAGUCUGAGAAAUUGAAUAUUGAUUGAUGAUUCACACUCAAGGCCUAGAGGUAAUUGGAGCUAGGUGAUUCCUCAUAAUGAAUCAAAGUAUCAAGUAGGUAAAACAGAAUUGUUUACCCUCAGAGUUCAGCCUCAGGCAACAUCGCUAAAGGGAGAUAUUUUUUAAAGAAAUCUGUCUGCAAAACCAAGUCAGAUCAGGAGAUGAGGAAGUGGUGGCCUCUUCAGAGGGAGAGCGGCAUGAUAGGAUGAAGGCUGUGAGGAGGGCACCCCCAAACCUCAUCUUGCCAAUGCCUGGCACACACUGAUGCCCAAUAAAUGUCUAUUGAAUUAAAUUGACA
rnacentral:lncRNA from 1 species